UAACACCACAGCCUUGCCAAACUCCGAGAGCAGCAGAGCGGCACCGGAGGCGGCCAGAUUACGGGCUAACGCGGCCGCGUCGUGCUUGACAGGGACCGCGCGGGUCGACAGUACGCGAGGCCCAGAGUUCGGGUGAUUUGAAUCGGUGAGCCCUGCUCCAGCUGCUGCUGGUGUGGCUGAAGAGGAUGUGGCCCAGGAUCUUCCCCGUGCCCCAACACGUAAGUUUCACU